rnacentral:rRNA from 1 species
GACGAACGCUGGCGGCGUGCCUAAUACAUGCAAGUAGAACGCUGAAGGAGGAGCUUGCUUCUCUGGAUGAGUUGCGAACGGGUGAGUAACGCGUAGGUAACCUGCCUGGUAGCGGGGGAUAACUAUUGGAAACGAUAGCUAAUACCGCAUAAGAGUAGAUGUUGCAUGACAUUUGCUUAAAAGGUGCAAUUGCAUCACUACCAGAUGGACCUGCGUUGUAUUAGCUAGUUGGUUGGGUAACGGCUCACCAAGGCGACGAUACAUAGCCGACCUGAGAGGGUGAUCGGCCACACUGGGACUGAGACACGGCCCAGACUCCUACGGGAGGCAGCAGUAGGGAAUCUUCGGCAAUGGACGGAAGUCUGACCGAGCAACGCCGCGUGAGUGAAGAAGGUUUUCGGAUCGUAAAGCUCUGUUGUAAGAGAAGAACGAGUGUGAGAGUGGAAAGUUCACACUGUGACGGUAUCUUACCAGAAAGGGACGGCUAACUACGUG